GAUGAACGCUGGCGGCGUGCCUAAUACAUGCAAGUCGAGCGAACAGACGAGGAGCUUGCUCCUCUGAAGUUAGCGGCGGACGGGUGAGUAACACGUGGAUAACCUACCUAUAAGACUGGGAUAACUUCGGGAAACCGGAGCUAAUACCGGAUAAUAUAUUGAACCGCAUGGUUCAAUAGUGAAAGACGGUUUUGCUGUCACUUAUAGAUGGAUCCGCGCCGCAUUAGCUAGUUGGUAAGGUAACGGCUUACCAAGGCAACGAUGCGUAGCCGACCUGAGAGGGUGAUCGGCCACACUGGAACUGAGACACGGUCCAGACUCCUACGGGAGGCAGCAGUAGGGAAUCUUCCGCAAUGGGCGAAAGCUUGACGGAGCAACGCCGCGUGAGUGAUGAAGGUCUUCGGAUCGUAAAACUCUGUUAUUAGGGAAGAACAAAUGUGUAAGUAACUAUGCACGUCUUGACGGUACCUAAUCAGAAAGCCACGGCUAACUACGUG
rnacentral:rRNA from 1 species